UACGGAGGGUGCAAGCGUUGUCCGGAUUUAUUGGGUUUAAAGGGUGCGUAGGCGGCCGUUUAAGUCUGGGGUGAAAGCCCACUGCUCAACAGUGGAACUGCCCUGGAAACUGGAUGGCUUGAGUACAGACGAGGGUGGCGGAAUGGAUGGUGUAGCGGUGAAAUGCAUAGAUACCAUCCAGAACCCCGAUUGCGAAGGCAGCUGCCUAGACUGUAACUGACGCUGAGGCACGAAAGCGUGGGGAGCGAACAGG
rnacentral:rRNA from 1 species